UUUGUCCUCUCAUGCAUCAGCUUGAGAACGGUUCCAUAUGUAAUCUCGAGGCCUUCAGAGGAGGAGGAAGCGGCGGAGGCAGAAGAAAAGGAGCCCUGUUCGAGAUCCAGGUUGAGGAAGAGGAAGAUUGAGAUAGCAAAGAAGGCGAGAGCCAUGGCGAAAAGCAAUCCAAUGAACCAGUUCUGCUGCCAGAAAGGUAUCGGCUCUCUAUACACGAUUCUCUUAGGAGUAAACGAAGAGGAUUGCGAUGAAGAAGAAGAAGAAG
rnacentral:misc_RNA from 1 species